rnacentral:lncRNA from 1 species
UUUUGAUUUUAAAUGCUUUGUUUGUUUGGAGACAGUCUCACUAUGCAGCCCAGGCUGACCUGAAACCUGGUGACACUCCUGCCUCACCUCCUGAGUGCUGGGAUCACAGUCAUCACCACCAUGCCAGUGCUUCUUCUAAAAAAUGGUCAUAUAUACAUAUAAUUUGCAAAGUUCUUUUUAAAAAAUAUAAAGAAUUUGACAAAAGAUGAAAUAGUUGUUAAUUCUUUGUACCUUUUUGUUUUUUAAUAGAAAACCAGAACUUUUUAAAAAGAGGACAUAUCAUUUGAUCCUCAUAUCAAAAUUGAUGAAGGAGAUAGUACCGUGACACAUCGUAAAGGACAGAAUUAUGGAGCAGACCACAGUGGCUUUUGCUGUUUCAGGGCGAAGCGACAUAGUGACUCUGAGGGACCGAGAAGGCGGGCACCCCGAGGACGACAUGUGUGUACAGUGCCCGGAAGGAAGAUGCAGGACACGCGGGAUCUGGAAGAAACGUCGGUCGGCCUUGAGAGAAAAAACCAAUUAAAUGAGGAAACAAAUUGUCGUAUCUCCAAAGUAGACGACUGUUAGCUGCCAGAUCGCUCCUUCCUGGCGCGUCACCAACAUCCAUCUUCCA